GUGGCCAACCAUCACACUAUACGGACUUGAGUUCACCCAGGCUGCUGGUCUCUCUUGCCAACUUUCCUCAGUAAUACGGUGGAAGUGACAGAGGAAGGGUGUUACUGUGUUUGUGGGUGGUUUUUAAAGUUUUGCGUUUAUUGCUGCGGUGGUGUGAGAAUUUACUAAAAGUUUUGACGUAUGAUGAAGUGAUACUUUCAAUUGAUUUAUGGUGGAAUGUUAAGUGACCUAACGGAUUUAUACUAUCCUUGUGGAUUAAUUGGACUUUAAAGAGAGAUGCUGCACCACAGUUGGUGAUGGUGCGUGGAGGAUCCACGGGGCUGGCAUGGCUGGCCGCUGUAGUGGCACCCUUCCAGCGAGCACCGGCCCUGCCUUGGCCAAUACUGGCACUGGCGGCCUUGCUACUUGCGGUGCCACGGGUCGCAGCCCUAACCACCGCUUCCUUCAUCAGCGAACACGCACCCAGGAGCGUCACUCUACCAGGUAAGAGCUGAGCAACG